GAGGCCGCUGCCCGCGCCCGGGAACAGCCGGGAGUGGGGAACGGCUGCGUCCGCUUCUCUCGUCCAGCCUGGACGACAGCAAGGAGAGACACGAGCACCUGGACGUUAAUUCCCGAUGGAAAAAAAGUCUGAGCGAGAUGGUUUACUGCAGAGAGCACCUGAGAGGCCAUCAAAAGAGUGCAGGGCUGGAGAAGAGCAGCUCAGAGCACUCUGCCUUGCUCACAUCACCACAACAGCAGCAGAGGGAAAACACUCCUGACACGGCAUUUCCUUUGCUGCAUCCUCUGUGUGAUGCCCACUGUGUGAUGGGCAGGAAUAGCAGGAGGUGACACUGAUGAUUUCAAGCUUUAAUACCCACCUUUGUGGGGCCAGCUUCCAACAGCAGAGCGUACAAAAUUUUUCUAAGGACUGCCAAGUACAAGUGAUGUAAUUGCCUGAUGGUGGUGAUAUUUGCAAGACCUUUGGAGAGUUCAGAAUUAGCUUCUUUACAGGUGAAGGCUGUGAGAGAACUCAUGAUAUUUCUGCAGUGGACUCCACAAGCUGUACUGGGAGGCUCUCCAGAGGAAGCUGCCACUCCCACUAUGCCCAGAGCAGAUGCCCAGCAGCCCCACAAGGGUGGAGGCACUGAUGCCACGGAACAGCACCGAGCUGCUCCCUGGCACCGGGGCACAGGGAUACACCCUGGAAUGUGUCACACAUCAGCUGGGUCACACGUGGAGCCCCGGUGUCACUACUGUGGCCACUCUCCUCCCAGACACUGCAAGUUCAGGCUGCCUUCUGCCAGCAGAGGUACUGAAGUGAGAGUGUGAGGAAGAAAAGCUGAUGUAAUGUCUUCCAGGAAAGUGAUGAAAGAAAGAGGAAAUAAAUGUUUGGAAUUUUGUCCUCUUUUUGUCUCA
rnacentral:lncRNA from 1 species